CUCCUGAUAGCUCAGUUGGUAGAGCGAUGGACUGUAAUUGAAAUCACAUAUAAUCCACAGGUCGCGUGUUCGACUCACGCUCGGGAGA
rnacentral:tRNA from 1 species